UAGCUCAGUGGUAGAGUGCUUGCCUAACACUCAUGAACCUGGGUUCAAUUCCCAG
rnacentral:tRNA from 1 species